rnacentral:rRNA from 1 species
UACAGAGGUCUCAAGCGUUGUUCGGAUUCAUUGGGCGUAAAGGGCGCGUAGGCGGGUUCUCAAGUCUGUGGUGAAAGCCCCCGGCUUAACCGGGGAAGUGCCGUGGAUACUGGGGACCUCGAGGGGGGUAGGGGCAUCUGGAACAGCCGGUGGAGCGGUGAAAUGCGUUGAUAUCGGAAGGAACGCCGGUGGCGAAAGCGAUCCGCUGGCCCUCUUCUGACGCUGAGGCGCGAAAGCCAGGGGAGCAAACGGG